CCCUUAGAUGUUCUGGGCAGCACGCGCGCUACAAUGGUCUGCGCAAACGGAUGCAUUCUCGAAGGAGAAUGCCAAUCUUGGAAUCUAUGCCUUGGUCGGGACAGUUGCUUGCAAUUUUUCGACUCGAACCAGGAAUUCCUUGUAAUCGUGAUUCAUCACAUCACGAUGAAUACGUCCCUGCCCUUUGUACACACCGCCCGUCGCUCCUACCGAUCGAAGAGUUAGGUGAAUUGUUUUGAUCGAUAAGAUUUGACUAUGGUCAACUCUCGUUGUGAAAUUCUGUGAAUCUGACUGUUUAGAGGAAGGAAAAGUCGUAACA
rnacentral:rRNA from 1 species